GAAGGGUGCAAGCGUUACUCGGAUUACUGGGCGUAAAGCGUGCGUAGGUGGUUCGUUAAGUCUGUCGUGAAAGCCCCGGGCUCAACCUGGGAAUGGCGAUGGAUACUGGCGAGCUAGAGUGCGGUAGAGGAGAGUGGAAUUCCCGGUGUAGCAGUGAAAUGCGUAGAGAUCGGGAGGAACAUCAGUUGCGAAGGCGGCUCUCUGGACCAGCACUGACACUGAGGCACGAAAGCGUGGGGAGCAAACAGGAUUAGAUACCCUGGUAGUCCACGCCCUAAACGAUGCGAACUGGACGUUGGGAGCAAUCAGGCUCUCAGUGUCGAAGCUAACGCGUUAAGUUCGCCGCCUGGGGAGUACGGUCGCAAGACUG
rnacentral:rRNA from 1 species